AGAACCUCAAGAUAGGCAAAGUGCCAUAAGAGUAUUAGUUUGACAAAUGUCGAAGUAUCCUGCAAUUUUAUUUUAAGUCUUUAAAUACGACUUUGACGGUCUUUACUAGAAGGGAGACGAGCAUGUCAUCUUUAAGUCCUGGGAGUUAUUCAGUAUUGUAGCAUAUUUAAAUCUAAAUGACAAAAUUAAGACUGACACAGCCUGUGUCUGGAGCUAAGUUGGAGACAA